UACGGGGGGAGCAAGCGUUGUUCGGAUUUACUGGGCGUAAAGGGCGCGUAGGCGGCCACCGCAAGUCGGUUGUGAAAUCUCCGGGCUUAACCCGGAAAGGUCAACCGAUACUGCGGGGCUAGAGUGCAGAAGGGGCAACUGGAAUUCUCGGUGUAGCGGUGAAAUGCGUAGAUAUCGAGAGGAACCCCAGAGGCGAAGGCGGUCUCCUGGCUCGCCCUUGACGCUCAGACACGACAGCAUGGGGAGCGAACGGG
rnacentral:rRNA from 1 species